CAACCCUCAAGCUCAGCUUGGUGUUGGGACUCGCGGUAACCCGCGUUCCCCAAAUCGAUUGGCGGUCACGUCGAGCUUCCAUAGCGUAGUAAUCAUACACCUCGUUACUGGUAAUCGUCGCGGCCACGCCGUAAAACCCCCCACCUCUCACAA
rnacentral:misc_RNA from 1 species